AAGUGGUGGUGCUGUGCUCGCUUUAAACUGUUGAAAUUAUUUUACAAUCGAAAAGCUCUUCCAAAAUCACCCAAGGAAACGAAUUUGCAGAUCCUGAAUGAAAUGUGCCUGCUCUCGUAAUUGAUACCAGAUCACCCGAACCCCUACAAAUUGUAAUGGGAAUCAAGAUGGAAUUUCUGCCCCAUAUCGUGCCACAAAUCAAUCAACGAGCAACAGGGGAACUGCAGAGAGAACGAAUCGAGUGCCUGUGAUGUUCACUAGAUUUCUGAAACCAUUGAAAGGUCAGAGCGCGGCACGGGCCAUUUAUUCAAACGGCAUGUAAUAGCAUCUUCUGCCUCUGGUCCUCCAACGGGAAGUUAACCAGACGGGCCAAACUGGUUUCAGAAACAACAGUUGACCCGACAAGAAUUCAGCUUAUUCCACCAAUACACAUCUGUUUAGUCAUGUAGGUUUGACAGUUGCUAUAUCUGAAAUCUUGCAAAUACACAAAAUCGUAUUUU